UACGUAGGGGGCAAGCGUUGUCCGGAAUCAUUGGGCGUAAAGAGCGUGUAGGCGGCUCGAUAAGUCUGCUGUGAAAGUCCAGGGCUCAACCCUGGAAGGCCGGUGGAAACUGUCGGGCUAGAGUCCGGAAGAGGCGAGUGGAAUUCCCGGUGUAGCGGUGAAAUGCGCAGAUAUCGGGAGGAACACCAAUGGCGAAGGCAGCUCGCUGGGACGAUACUGACGCUGAGGCACGAAAGCGUGGGGAGCAAACAGG
rnacentral:rRNA from 1 species